GGAGGAAAGCAGGGGAUCGCAAGACCUUGCGCUAAAGGAGCGGCUGAUGUCUGAUUAGCUAGUUGGUGAGGUAAAGGCUCACCAAGGCAACGAUCAGUAGUUGGUCUGAGAGGACGGCCAACCACACUGGGACUGAGACACGGCCCAGACUCCUACGGGAGGCAGCAGUGGGGAAUUUUGGACAAUGGGCGAAAGCCUGAUCCGGCCAUGCCGCGUGAGUGAAGAAGGCCUUCGGGUUGUAAAGCUCUUUUAGUCGGAAAGAAAGAGUUGCAAUGAAUAAUUGUGAUUUAUGACGGUACCGACAGAAAAAGCACCGGCUAACUACGUGCCAGCAGCCGCGGUAAUACGUAGGGUGCGAGCGUUAAUCGGAAUUACUGGGCGUAAAGGGUGCGCAGGCGGUUUUGCAAGUCAGAUGUGAAAGCCCCGGGCUUAACCUGGGAAUUGCGUUUGAAACUACAAGGCUAG
rnacentral:rRNA from 1 species